rnacentral:lncRNA from 10 species
GUAAAUUCAACAACAGAAAUUGAGGAUGAGGAACAUGGUGUUGCAGUUCAAACCAGUUCCAGCCAAAAUGGACUCUAGUCACAAACAAAUAGUAAUAACAAUCCAAACUUGUGGCUGAAUAGAGUUCUGAAGUUUUGAGAAAGAGCCAAGAGAAAAUUCAGUGUGAAGAUGAUGGAGUGACACAAUAGAAGGAACCUGAAUCACUGAAUCAUCACUUGGAAGAAAGCAGCCCAGACUAGUUACCCAACUCCCAUCAGACAGUGACCAGAGUGAGAAAUAAGCCUUGUGUAUGGUG